UACAGAGGUCCCAAGCGUUUGUUCGGAUUCACUGGGCGUAAAGGGUGCGUAGGUGGCCAGGUAAGUUCGGUGUGAAAGCUCGGAGCUUAACUCCGAAAUGUCAUUGAAUACUAUCUGGCUUGAGGGUCGGAGGGGAGACUGGAAUUCUCGGUGUAGCAGUGAAAUGCGUAGAUAUCGAGAGGAACACCAGUGGCGAAGGCGAGUCUCUGGACGACUCCUGACACUGAGGCACGAAAAGCUAAGGGGGAGCAAACAGG
rnacentral:rRNA from 1 species